rnacentral:piRNA from 1 species
UAGGUCUUCAGGAGCUGUGUCCUAGUGGCU